rnacentral:lncRNA from 1 species
AUUUUAUGAUUAGAGAGGGUCUUUCAUCCUUACUUCAGUGAAAGUUAUUGUUUUUAAUCUUAUAAUUUCGAAAUUCUCCGAAACAGUUGUGACACCUGUUUUACUUCAUACAACAAAGUACUUGUAGGUUUAUUUUUAUUCAUUUCUAUUAUGUCAGCCGACAAAGUGGUUUGUGUGAAAUUUUCUUAUCAUUUCCUUUUCGUCCAUUGUCCGUCGUGAUUUUUUUUAAAGAUCUCCUCCGUAACCGGUUUCUUUGCUAAAAAAAGUGACGAGACAUUUUCACUUUUUGUGAUGAAGGUCGUAUAUUGACCUUUAACUGCUUACAUUUACUACACUAAACUCUGGUGCAUAAUUGUCUCAUUGGCAAUGAUAUCACAUCGCGAUAGUUUAAUGUACAUAUUGUACAUGAUGUACAGCAAAGAUAAAUUUUCGCCUGAUACGGACGGACGAACGGACGAUCUGACGGACAGACUAAAUAACGACCGACCGAAGGACUAGCGAAUAGAUGAACAAUUGCACAAGUCAUGUCGUUCUUGACUGUCCAUGGCGUUAAAGGACUAAAGACGUGGUGUAGUGGUUAGUGCAUCGGACUACUAACACAAAGGUUCCUGAUUCGAUUCCCGUCUGGGAUGAAAAUUUCAGGGACUGAAUUUUCGGCUCUCCCUUGACACCAUUUGCGAGUAUGGUCUUGAGGAAACGAUGAUAGUCCGUCGGAAGGGGACGAUAAAUGGCUGACCCGUGUUAGAGAGAGCCAUAUCUCUUGCACGUUAAAGACACCCUUGUAGAUUUCGAAAAAAGAGCAGGCUAAUGCCGCUACAAGGCAGCACUCGCACCCGCAAAGUGGAAAGGGAUUAAUAUAAGUUGCAAAACUUGUUUCCCAAUCCACUAUAAAUAAAUAUGUUUAAACUAAACUAAAAAAGGACUAAAUCCCUGGGAUGUGUUUAAAUUGAUUCUUGUCCCUGAUGCAUGAUUUUUUAUUAUUAAUUGUUUUUCGCUUUUAACUAGCUUUCAGUAAUUGCAAGUACUCUCAAAUCGUACCUUCAUGUUAAUUUGACCUGAUUACACAAUUUGUAAUGCAUUUCUGUAAUCCAAUGUUUACUUAUUUUUUGUUAUAACGCGUCUAACUAUUUUAAAUAUGUACCACGUUUGAUAAAUAUUUAUUAUGACGAUAAAUUUUCACUUCUGUACUUGUACUGUUAACAACAAAUUAUUUUUGUAAAAUUGUAAUCCGUUCUCAUAACAACAAAAUUAUUUACCUGUGUACGUUGUUCAAUGCCAUUUUGUCCCAGGUUAAAGUUGUCUUUUUGACACGGUUCCCACAUCUCUUUUUCAUAUAUAUUGUAUUUAUAUUGUGUCAUAGAUCAAACUUAUUCGUUCAGUGUAUGUUUACUUGUUUUUGUUUAAAUCUCUUUUUGAUUGACUCAUGAGUUAAGACAUUUUAAUUGAUAUUUAAUAGUGUGUCUUUUUAUGUUGUAAUGUAACACUACUGUCCAAGGUUGGGGUUAAGGUUGGUCGGUUAAAACGAUUAAACCCGCUGCGUUUUCUUUCCUCUAUCCUAAGUCCGGAGACUGUUGUUCAGUGGUUGUCGUUUGUUGGUGUGGUUCAUAAGUGUUUCUCGUUCCUCUUUUUUUUUAUAGAUUAGACCGGUGGUUUCCCUGUUUGAAUUGUUUCACAUUAGUCAUUUUGGGAUCCUUUAUAGCUUGCUGUUUAGUGUGAGCCAAUACUCCCCGUUAAAGGCCGUACUUUGACCUAAAAUUGUUAACUUUUCAUUCAUUAUGCCUUGGAUUGAGAGUUGUCUCAACGGCACUCAUACCACAUCUUCUUAUUCAAAACUAUCGUACAUCGUCAACAAGUACAGGCUACCAAAAGACAAAAGCGGUUUAUAGAAAUGGAAUAUGAUCAAACUAGAAUAAACCUGGAUCGCUAACUAGACAAAUUCACCUCAUUUAUCAAAAGAAAUUCAAUUUUGACAAAAGCUGCUGUUUGUAUUGCCUUCUCUGUCCUCAAACUACCAAAACAUUUCACCUUUUAGUUGCAGAAGAGAAGAGUUUUGAAAAUUGGUAAAUUAGAACAUACGUCUUUCUGGUAAAAACGUCUUACCAAAAACACCAAACUCCAAGGUAAGUUCAUAGAGUCCAUAAAUGCGGACAAUAUGCAACGCUCGACUAUAUCAAAUCUUCCAAUCAGCAGUCCUCUACUGUUUCCGAACAAUCUGCGAUGCAAUUUUAAAAUUUUUUUUUUACAUUGGCCAAACAAAAUAAAGAUUGCCGCGGGCAUCAUUUUUUGAUAGAAGCAACUCACAGGUGAUUUCUUAAAAAUGGCAGUAGAAUCAACAUCUUUUCUUUCUGCAGCCAAGCUUUACAAAUAGGCAAAACAAAGUGAAAAUUUUAGGGAUUGUGGGUCCGCGGGAUUGUUCAACUUUGUACUUUAUUUGACCAUUUUAACUUUUUUUAUUCGAGCGUCACUGAUACGUCUAUUGUAGACGAGACGUAGUACACAAUUUAAAUUCUGGUAUCUAUGAUGAGUUUAUCUAUAUCAUUUAUAUAAGGUUUCAUAAAAAUUGUCGAAGUACAAGUGCAAAAAUGUAGAGUCUCACAGAAUACGAGUUAACGUUGGAUCAACAUCUUUGCGCAACAGAUGACACAAAUGUUGUCAUUCCCUUAACUUGAAUAACAUUGAAUAAAUGUCAUUUGUAAAAGGUCUUUCGAUCAGAGUUCGAAAAAAAAGCAUUUCGCCUUGUACUUUAUUUGACCGUAACUUUUUUAUUCGAGCGUCACUGAUGAGUCUAUUGUAGACGAGAC